GCCCUCGUAGCUCAACUGGAUAGAGCAUCGGUCUUCUAAACCGGCGGCUGCGCGUUCGAGUCGCGCCGAGGGCA
rnacentral:tRNA from 1 species